CGAGCGCAGCCGGGCGCCCCCGCCGCCGCGCGCAGCCCGGGAGCGGCAGACGGGACAGGCGGGCGUGCGGACGCGCCGUCGGGGCCAGGGGAAGCGGAGGGGGCAGACGGCACCGCUCCGACGGGGGAACCUGCCCAGCAGCGCCGGAACCGGCGGAGAGAGCCGCUCCCCCCCUCCUCCCUCCCCAAUCCACCCCCGCGACCCUGGUCCUCCUCCUCCUCCUCCUUCUCCUCCUCCUCCUCCUCACCCCACUGGAUACAGCGAGGGAGACACUGCGGCGGAGGCGGCGGCGGCGGCGGCUCCUGCGGGGGGAAGGAAGCGCCCGGAGAGCGGAGCGGCAGGAGGCUGCGGAUCUGUGUGCCUGGCGCCCACCCAGCCCGAGGGGAGCCCCCAGAAUGCGGCUGAAGCCCGGCGCGCUCCUGCGCUUCUACAGCCUCUGCGGGAUCCUCAUACAAGGUGAGUAA
rnacentral:lncRNA from 1 species